rnacentral:tRNA from 1 species
CAAAAGUUAGUUUAUAUAGAAUGUUGGCUUUGGGUGCUUUUGGAUUAUUCUUUUGA